AAGUGUGUAGGAGAAGAUGAUUUUUCAGUGGAAACAUGGAAACACUUGAUUACUCAUCUUAAAA
rnacentral:ncRNA from 2 species